rnacentral:rRNA from 1 species
GAAGACGGCCAUAAUAGAUUGGAAACACCUGUUCUCUUUCCGAACACAGAAGUUAAGCUUUCUAUGUUGAUGGCAGUAGUGUCCGAACAGACGCCAAACCUUCAAGCUGUCUUCA